rnacentral:rRNA from 1 species
GACGUAGGGCGCGAGCGUUGUCCGGAAUUAUUGGGCGUAAAGAGCUCGUAGGCGGUCUGUCGCGUCGGCUGUGAAAACCCGGAGCUCAACUCCGGGCCUGCAGUCGAUACGGGCAGACUGGAGUUCGGCAGGGGAGACUGGAAUUCCUGGUGUAGCGGUGAAAUGCGCAGAUAUCAGGAGGAACACCGGUGGCGAAGGCGGGUCUCUGGGCCGAUACUGACGCUGAGGAGCGAAAGCGUGGGGAGCGAACAGG